rnacentral:lncRNA from 1 species
AUGUAUGUUGCCUGCAGUCUUUUAACUAGAUUUGGUAGAUUACUUGCCUGUGCUUAAGUAGUUGAAUUGAGUUUCAUUCUAGUGUUUCUUCACUGUAGACCUUGAAAAAUGGUUCAUGUUUUACACACUGACUUGAAUGAAUCAAGGUUUGGUGUAGCAUAUGGAAUCAAAUUUGUUAGUCUGAUUGAUCUUUAACCAAGUUAUAAAUGAAGAAACUGAUAUAUUCACUGGUUCAUUUAUGGCAGAUGCUCUAGGCCCGUCAGGUCAGGUAAACAUUCAAACAUAAUAUCAUAGAGCUGUCUUGUUUGUGCGUUAAGUCAGUUUACAACCAACAAGCUUGCUUGAUUCAGUUUCCUGUUAUGCCCUGGGGUCUGCAAGGAGUGCUGGAAUAUUUCAAGCAAGUUUAUGGCAACCCUCCAAUCUACAUCCAUGAAAAUGGUGUAUCUCUCUCCCUUCCCUCUCUCUCUCUCUCUCACACACACACACAUACACACACACACACACACACACACACAUAUUGGUAGUUUAUUUUAGAAAACAACAGUUCCAGUGGACCAUCAAGAAACACACUGGCCUUCUGGUAAAACAGUCGUUCCAUGGUCCUUGUUCUCUCUCUCUCUCCCUCUCCCUCACACACACACACACACACACUAAGUAGUUUUACUUAAGAAAACAACAGUUCCAGGGGACCAUCAGGAAGCACACUUGCCUUUGAGUAUGGUACAGUUGUUCCAUGGUCCUUGUUCUUGGAGAUUUGCAGACAGUUGUGGGUUUGGAUGGGAAGGAGUGAACACUUGUAAAUCCAAUUUUCUUUUCAUCAUUUUCCUCAUUUAAUGAGUGAAACUUGUGUGGAUUCUGGCAGGUCAACAGAUGAAAAGGAACACAACAUUGAACGACACUGCAAGGGUGGAAUAUAUACAGGCCUACAUGGGGGGUUUGCUUGAUGCAAUAAGGUAUACCUAUUACAGUAACAAUCUUGAUGCAAUAAGUCUCGAUUAUUCUAAGUUGGGUUCUUCUUAAACUUUUCACUGAAAUGAGAAAUGCAUUUUUGUCUCUGAUGCAGUUCUCUUAUUGUCUUUCUUUCCUCCCCCAUUUCUUUGUCCCUUUUGUUUAAAAAUAUUGGCAGGAAUGGAUCAAAUGCAAGAGGGUACUUCAUAUGGUCAUUCUUGGAUGUACUCGAGGUAACAGAUGGCUAUAAAUCAAGCUAUGGCCUCUACUAUGUAGAUUUGGAUGACCCAGAUUUGAAACGAUAUCCUAAGCUCUCUGCACAUUGGUACUCUGGUUUUUUGAAGGGAAAAAACAUCACUCCAGAUGAGGCCAAUGACAUUACCAAGAAUAAAAUGGCUCUUUCUAAUGCUCGACCCAUUCAGUAGGCUCUGCUUUGAAUAGUCAUCUAUUGGUGCCUUCCCUUUCAACUGGCAUGUUGACAACUUAUCAACUCUUAUUAUCAGAACAUUUUCUUUCUUAAUAAGUAUAUUCAGUGAUUUCUCAUAGCUUGUCACUCAAUUCAGAAAAUAUUAUAGGUAAGUAAACUGGCUAGCCUUGGGUGUCAACCUAAUAUUUUUUUCAGAACAAAAUCUGAAUCCAACUUUAGCUAUCUUGAUUCAGAGUAUGUUAUGUAUAAGCCAUCUUCAGGGGCUUACCGCCUAUACAUCCUUCAUCAGCCUCCCGAUUCCAACAAAAAUUCGCCACUGAACUGUAAAGUAAUCUUGGUUGCAAGAAGUAACAUCAUGUUCUCAAAAUUUCAGACAGAUAUGAGCAAUAACAGUUAAUUGGGACUGCCCAACUUGUUUCAGCAAAAGAUAGAAGCUUUAAACAAGAUUCUCAAAAUAAGUACAUGUCUUCCAGAGGGAAAAUUACAGCAACGGUCCAAAUUAGCAGUAAAGAGAAUCCACAAUGAACAACUAUUUGAAUAGAAAUCUCCUAGUCCAAGUCACCAAAGACGGCCGAAUCAGUAUACAACAAAGUUGACAAUAUUGGCAUGCUAGAGUUCAAUUUGAUCAAGCAACCUCCAUCAUUAUGUUUUCAAUGUCGACAAAAAUGUGUGAUGGAGACCGCCCAUUCUCUAGAGGGAGGAAAGUUCCACCCAGCACAACUUUCGAGGAUGCUGAAAAUCAAUACCCAAUAAUAAUAAUAAAAAAAGAAAAAAAGAAAAACCAGGACAGAAGUAUUUCCACAAAAUUUACGGGGAUAUGUCCAGAAGAUUAUUGUGAAAAUAUAUGGAAUGUAAGGAUAGUAAUAAAUGGGAAACAUGAGGAGUUAAUUGAUGGAAAGACAAGGGAAAGAAGAAUACAAAAAGUGUGUGAGCAUGGUGAGGCAUAGACUCUCUUUCUCUCUGUUUCUUCUGCUAAAUUUAGCAACUACAGCCUUCAGCGCUCUCAAGUUUAGCAGAAAUGACUUCCCAGAUGACUUCAUUUUUGGGGCUGGCACCUCUGCUUACCAGGUUUGUUAAUUUUCUUCUCUUUUCUUUUUUUGUACUCAUUUAGAUGAACACAGGAAGAAGAAAUGAUUGAAGAAAAGAAUCUAAAACAAAAAGGGAGUUGGUGAAUGAUUUUUUUCUUUUUUUAUCAUUAUUAUUAUUAUUGGAUAAAAGGUUGAGGGAGCAGCAAACCAAGAUGGGAGGAGUCCUAGCACUUGGGACGCCUUUGUUCAUGCUGGUCAGUUCCUAUACUGUUUUUUUUUUUCCUUGAUAUAAUUUUCUUUUGCUGUUUUCCAUGUUGUUGAUUGAGCUUUGCUUCUUCUACAAUUAGAGCACCUAUUCUUCCACUGACUGGUUAUGAGCCAGCCCUUUCUAAAUGAUGAGCUCUUUUCAAUGAAUCCAAGGGCCUGACAUUUUUUAUUUUUUUUAAAUCAAGAUCAUUUGUAUAUUAAAUGUUGAUAGAGUUUUCGAAAAAUUUAGAUAUUUUUUUUCCCUCUUUUUGGUGGGGUUGGGGGGUAGGAUUUUGCAGAAAUGGAGAUGCUUUUGUCUUCCAAACCAUACCAUAUUCACUACUCUGGAAUUUAAUCAGCCAACUCCCUUUCUCACCUUGUCUUUAAAAUUUUGUUUGUUUCUCUUUUGCUGAGUAGGAUCUGCUAUCAUUUUGUAACACUAACCAAUUAUAAAUGAAGAGUUUCAAGGAGAAAGUAUUCAGGGUCUUCCAUGACAUCAAUCUGAUGUCAUGGCACUACUGUGCUGUCGUAUUAUACCGUAUCAAUAUUAGAUAGUAGAAUGCUAAAGUUUUGAAAUAAAUAAUUUUAUUUACCAAAGAAAGAUUUUAAAAUUUAUUUUUAUAGAUCUUAUGAAAUCUUCCAGUUAAAGGAAAAUUUCAAAAUUUUCUUUCCUCAGAAAGUUCCCUGCAAUGAUGCUGUCCCUCUCUUUCUAUUCCACCAUUCUUUAACACCCUCAUAAGCAUAUCUUCUACAAAAAGCAACAUGAUUAUUCAUUUGUACAUUUUGAUAACAUAUAUAUAGAGAUAAUAAAAUUGAAUAUAAAUCAUAUAACCAACUUAUAUUCUUAUAGAUCUAAGAAAAUUCCUUCUGUAGGAGGGAAUUCACCUUGAUGGGAUCAUGGGAAAGUAGUGAAAGAUGACAAGGAGCUUGUAUUGAUAUGACACAAUAAGUAGAUGGUUGUACUAUGUCAAAGUCCUAAUAUGGCAUCAAAGACCUACUGAAUAUUUUCUUAGUUUAAAAUUCUUUUAACUUAAAAUCACAUGAAUUCUAAAACCUUUUAAAGAUGAAUAAGGGUUUUUGUGACAUUUAAGAUUUAUGCCAAACUGGGUAUCAGUUCAACAGAUUCACAGUUGCUGAUACAUGUAUCAGAUAUUUUGAUUUGGAUGGCUGAUUGUCCAACCUUAAAUUUCAGGGGGUACCCAUGGAGCUUCUGGGGACAUAGCAUGUGAUCAGUAUCACAAAUACAAGGUCAGUUCACCAUUUUUGUGAUCUUUUCUCUGGGAAUAAUCAUAUGGCUUGUAGAAACAGAGUCGUUAGACAAGCUCGGGUUUCUUCUACAUGGAGCCAUUACAUAUCAGCAAAUGAUGUUGCAAAUUUGAAGACAAAUUUCUAAGUCAUGCUCCUUAAUUUUUCUUUUCUAAUGACAUUUUGGCACAUUCUGCAUGUCCCAGAUGUCUUGAGACGUUAGUUGUUGUUUCAAACAUUUGGAACUUGGCUUAGCAUCCUUCCCGUGUAUAUAUUUCUUGCAGGAGGAUGUCAAACUGAUGGUGGAAACAGGCCUAGAUGCCUAUCGAUUCUCGAUCUCAUGGUCAAGGCUUAUCCCAAGUAAGGUCACGGAACUGUGACUCAUGUUAACAAAAUAAGAACUUGCACUUUUGGUUCUCUUUCUGAGUCAUGCUUCUGUUGUUCUAUCAGAUGGAAGAGGACCUGUCAAUCCAAAGGGUUUAGCAUAUUACAACAACCUCAUCAAUGAACUUAUCAGCCAUGGUUGAAGUGGAUUUCAAACAAAAAUGAAGUUAAUAUUGUGUGUGUAGCAUUUUGGAAGUGUUUUUCUUCUCUUUGGAAGCAAAAACUAGAGUAAUUUUUUUCAUUCAAAAUCAAGAGAACGUACUUCCAAAUUGCUAUCACAACAUUGCUUUCAAAUUCUACAUUCUCUUAAUGGUAACUCACAUGAUCCAUGUUCCAUUGGUCAAGCAGGAAUCCAACCUCAUGUUACUUUAUUCCAUGUUGAUCUGCCACAAGUGCUUGAAGAUGAAUAUGAAGGAUGGCUUAGUCGAAGGAUUGUGUAUGGUUCUCAACUCUCUUCGAACUUGUUCUUGGGCUAAACAUGUCCCUUCCACCAACCAAAUAAUAGAGAAUACAUAUGACAGAAUUAUCUUGUGUGGAUGCAGGAAAGAUUUCACAGAAUUUGCCGAUGUGUGCUUUAGAGAAUACGGAGAUAGGGUUUCACAUUGGACUACCCUGAAUGAAGGAAAUGUAUUUGCUUUGGCUGGCUAUGACUCGGGAAUCCUACCACCUCAGCGAUGCUCUCCCCCAUUUGGACAUAGGUCAUGUACCAAAGGCAAUUCCUCAUUCGAACCAUACAUUGCAGGGCAUCAUCUCUUGUUAGCACAUGCAUCAGCUGCAAGAUUGUACAAGAAAAAGUACCAGGUACCACUACCUAAACAUAUUACACCUGAACGAACCUAUACUCGUAAGGAAACAGCGAAAAAAAUGGUCACAGUCAUUACAGUAAGUGGUGUUAUGUUGCAGGCCAAGCAACAUGGAUUCAUAGGGAUUAAUGUCUUUGCUUACUGGUUUGCUCCUCUAACAAACACAACAGAAGAUAUCACAGCUACUCAAAGGGCUAAAGAUUUCUAUCUUGGUUGGUGAGUACUUUUGAUUCUUUUUGGCUAGGAUGUUAAAUCCUAAAUGAUCUCAGAAACUGUUUGUUGGUACAGGUAUUGGUUUCCUUGUCAAGUAGAAAUGGCCAAAAGUUGGGUUCAAGAAUCUAGAUAAGCCUUAGGUCAUCUUUUGUGUUUGUUUUCUGUUGCAGGUUUCUUGACCCCUUAGUGUUUGGAGACUAUCCUGAAACAGUGAAGAAGAACGCAGGCACAAGAAUUCCGGCCUUCACCACACCUGAAUCCAAACAAGUCAAGGGUUCAUUUGACUUCAUAGCAAUAAACCAUUACUUCGCAACAUACAUCAAGGACAACCCUGAAAAGCUGAAGAUAGAUCAAAGAGACUUUGCAUUAGAUGUGGGCACAGACAUGAUAUGUAUGUCACCUGCAGUCCUUUAUCUAAAUUUACUAGACUCCUCAACCGUGCUCAAGUGCUUUCAAUUUGAUCUCAACUCAAUUGAUCUUAAGCAGACAGCUUAGUUGAAUUGAGAGUUCCAUUCUAGUGGUUUCCUCACAGUAGUCCUUGGAAAAUAGCUCAUUUUUUACUUUGAUUAAUCUUUAUCUAAGUCAAAAAUGAAAAAACUAAUAUAUUGAAUGUUUCAUUUAUGGCAGUUAAGCCACAAAACGAUGUACCGGUAGGUGAGGUAAAGAUUGAAACAUAAUCUCAUCCAGUGGCCUUGUUUCCAGGUUAAGUCAGCUUUUAACUAAUACGCUCGUUUGAUUCAGUUUCCUCUCACGACCUGGGGUCUGCAAGGAGUGCUGGAAUAUUUGAAGCAAGUUUAUGGCAACCCUCCAAUCUAUAUCCAUGAAAAUGGUCUCUCUAUCCUUCUCUCCUUUUCUCCCACCCCACAUUUUCCUUUCAUCAUAUUUUCAUGAACCUUCUUUCAUGGCAUGCCUCACCAGGUAUGCAAACACAACGCAACACAUCGUUGAACGACACAUCAAGGGUCAAAUAUAUGGAGGCUUACAUUGAAGUUGUGCUUGAUGCAAUAAGGUAUGUCUAUUUCAGUAGCUAUCUAGGUAAAGUGUCUUGCGGAUUCUUUCCUUUGCUUUGAUUUACCACCAAACUAGAAUACAU